rnacentral:snRNA from 8 species
AUUCUUUCGCAGAGGCGAUAUCAUAACCUGUGAGGUCCAGCUGAGGAGUGAUUAUUGCUGGUUGAAAACUUAUCCCAAAACCCUGCUUGGAAUGACUUGAAAUAU